GUCUGCAGGAGAGGUGUGUGUGUGAGAGAGAGUCGUGUGUACUGAGUGGAGGUGAGCACUUUCAGAAAGCACCCCUCUAUCAUUUGCCUUGAUGCCUGCAUUUCCCUGUUUGAAAGCAGUGGGGAUCUCAUCACGCAGCUCUGAAAAUGGGCACCAGAAAAACAAAACCAAAGUUCUCAGGGUGGGUAGGGCUCUUCCUUUCCGAGCACUGGCCAUUCUGGCAAGCGUUCUCCUUCAUGCUCUUGGGUUCUACCACAGCACUGCUCUGAAAGCUCUCUUCUUUCUUAGUGUUUCCUCAUAAUGACCCUAAACAGUGUGUCAGGGCAGUCUGUACCUCAUUAGGUGCAGAUCAGGGACCAUAGAUGCCAAACGGGCCCCUGAGCCACCACAUAACUUAACUAGCUGGAAGGUGCCAAGACUGUCAGUUAUCUCCCCUGGAAGAGCCUUCUCCAAUCUCCCCAUGGGCUCGGCCUCCCCUCCAUGGCCAUGGUUAGGUUGGGUCUGCAGUACCUUCUAGAACAAACUUCUCAUUUCUGUUUAAGUGCCUAAGCAAGUUACAGACCUCUGGAACCUGCCUGAGAGUUGGCCUGUGCCCUGUCCUUCCCACCAUGCACCCCGCCCCAGGACAGGUGUUAUGCACAUCCCCACUCCCCAACCCAGUGUCCCUGCCAUUCUGCAGGCAGAAUGGUCACAAGGGCAAGCAUGGGGAGAAGGCUGGCUUUGUCACUGUUUCCCGUGUUCUUUCUGUUGGUGUGACUGUGGUCUUGGGUCAGAGGGAGUUUUAAGGAAUCUACUUAGCUAGAGCUCGGUAGCUACUGAGCAGAAGAGCAGGAGUGAGACAGCCUCUGAGCAGAGUCCUAUCUGUCAGCACUUAGGGCCGUUUCCAGCUCUGAGAGGGCCAGCAGGCAGGGGUCAUGACUGAUAAACCUGUGUGCACUGGAGCCCUGACCGCAUGCAUCCACAGCCCAGAUACCAAGGAGCUGAAGGCCAUCAGCAGUAGAGUAAGAGCCAAUGUGCAUUUUUUAAAGUGAGUGAGAGACUUUCUUUUGGGGAAUAGUUUAAGUGUAAGCUAGAUCUGGGCCCUAUUUACAUGGGGUAUAGGACAGGUCGUUGACUGUGCUGUGCUUGGUUGGUUACAACGGUAACAGGAAGGAAGAAUCCAUUCCACAGGCACCUUAUUUCCAUUGAUGCAGGAUUUUUGUUCAGGCAGUGGAGGAGCAAACCCUGGGCAUUUGCAUGUAACAGGUGCAGAUGGCCCUGCCUCACCUAGAGAGGGGAAAGCAGUGGGUGAGUGGCCAAGUGGUGGCUAAAAGGAGGCUGUGGAGCAUGCAAAACCACACUUCCUCUGAGGACUGUGUCACCCUCUAGACGCAGCGUCCAUGGUCUACCUACCAAGCACCUGUCUGGCCUGGUGUAACUGAGGAAUGUCAACUGGAUGCAAAUUAAGGGACAACAGCAUUGAGUCAGAGCGUCAGGAGGACCAGGAUUCUGGGCCCUGACUGGACUUGAACGUUCUAGCAGGAGCCGAAUGCAGUCCUGUUGAGUUCCCUGUGGGUCUGGGAACAAGCUGGCAUGGGCAGCUGGGAAGUGGAAAGCAAGCUUACGUGUUCUGACCAGACACCAGGGACCAAAUGUCUUGAGGUUGCCUGCAGGUAUUCAGCCUAAUGGCUGUGUAGGAUCCUGCCAGAUGAGUCGGGGAGGGAGCAGGGCGCCCUCCUGGCCUUGGCGGUUGUGUGUCUUAGUCUCUGUGUUUCCCUUUGGUGUCUUCUCUGGUCUCUGUCCCCAUCUUGUGUGCCAUGUGUCCCUGAGGGUGAAUCACACCUGUGUCUGAGUCUGCUGUAAGGUGUCCAGUCUACCUCAAGGGGUCAUCAUGGCAAGCUCUGUCCACAUGGAAUCCUCUGUACAUGCCACACACACUGGAAUGUAUACCACCCCACCCCCCAUAAUCUCUUGACCCCAUCUUUCCCCAUAGUCACCACAGACUCCUAGUGCAAAUUGGAUGCUGCUUUAAAUGUGAAAAAAUUUGUUCAAAAGCUAUAAAAUCUGAAUGAAAGCUAAAGCUGAACUUAUAAGCCUUGUUGCGUAUGAGCCAAAAGUGCAAAAAGCUCUAUAUAAUGAACUAACCUGCCACUCGUAUAAAUAUAAAUAUAUAUAAAUAUAUUAAAAAUCAGACUGUUCUACAAAAUUGUGUAUUUGUAUUUUUGUGUACGUACAAUUUUCUGCUAAGCAGAAGGAGGGUGUAGUAUAGGGCGCUGUGAGAAGAGAUUUGGUUUAAUCCCAUUUCUUUGUUACUUAUUUUUGUUAACAUCAGAUGCCUGUCUUCGUCUUCUCUGUGUAUGACACUGUUUGGGAAGCUGCAGUAUCCUUCUUACCUAGGCCAGAGUCUGUGAUAAUAAAGCUGGGGCACAGGGAGGUAGGUGUAUGGCCACCACCUAACUGAAAGGGGGGCAGGCUUGCACCCCCGAGGCCAGGCAUAGUAUAGCAUUCUGACUUGUCUCUGGGAAGCAAACUCCCUUUUUAGAAACCAGUUUCCCAGAUAAGAUCACUGGGUACCCAGACCCAGGGAGCAAGGGGAGUCUUCUCUCCAUUGCCCAGGUGACUUUCCUAGCAUAGCUCCCAGCCCCCUGGCUACCACUGGGCCAUGUCUCCCAGGUAGCUGCUGCCUUUUUGGACAGGGUUACCAGAUGCCUCCCCUACCAGAGCUGUCACCAGAGGUCCAAUUCUUUACCUGGAGCAUCUCAGAACCCACUUUGCCGGUGCUAAACAGGAGAGGGGUUAGAGUGGCUGCCAAUAAUGGCCAGAACCAGCCCACCAGAGGCCAAGACAAGCUUGGGUGCCCACCGCUGCCCACACCCUCCCAGCCCCCUCCUGGCCCCUGGUGGAGCCUGCUCUAGGGAAUGAUACUGCACCUUCCCAGUAGGACUCAGAUUCUAACAAUGUGUGAUGACUGUAGCAAGAAGCCCUUGUUUCUCGAUGUAAAUGGUCAAAGAAACAAGUGCUCUACUGUAUUGAUUAAAUAGUUCCAAUGAGUCCUGUUUCAUUGUAUCUCCUAUUCUGGAUUAGUGCCUUUUGGACAGUAGACUGUUCUGUAAUUAAAAUGUAGUAUACUGCUUUUUUGUACAGUUUUGUUUUAACAAAACUUUUUUUUAAUUUGUGUUUAUUUUAGUAUUGUAUCUAUUAGAGAAUAAAAUGUAUAACUGAGCAAA
rnacentral:lncRNA from 1 species